AGAAAAGGUGGCAACACAAGAGAUGGAUAUCGCUGGGUGUGUCGAAGACAUAAUAGAUUCAUGUCCAAAUCCAUAAGAGAUGGGUCUAUUUUCUCAGGCUCUCGCUCCUCCUUGACUUCUUGGAUGAUGUUCAUGCAUAGGUUUGCACAAGGGCUAAGACUGAGGCAAGUGGACUUAAUUGAAGAGGGAGUCUGUGGAAGCAGCCGCACUUUGUCCAAGAUGUCCAAGACACUAAGGAGGGUGUGUGUGCAAGCAGACCUGAAGAG